rnacentral:lncRNA from 1 species
GUCAGGCAGAGUGAUUCCAGCUACAUAGACAUCGACACUCUCCUCAUAGAGGUUUGCAAUCCCAAGCUGUUGUGAGGUAAGCCGACCAGAUGUAGAAGACCCUUCUCUGCAAAACUGGAAGAGAUGUCCCGGUGAUCACAAACCCUCAGUUACAGAAUUCAAAGGCACUGAAAUGGGUAAAACGCCAACUGAAGAUCUGGGAAAUUUACUAGCAAAAAUGAUCGGUGGAACUCGAAUAAACGCAACCAAAUGAAUCAAGUGAAGAAAUCAAUCCAUGACCCAGACAAAGAAGGCAGAGAAAAGUCAACAAAAUGGAUGGGAAAAUCAGUAAUAUUGAUGAAAAAAAAAAGCCAACAAAAAGAAAGAGAAUUCAUCAAAGAACUUGAGAUUAACAACAAAGCGAAGCUAAAUGCUGGAAAGGACCACAUUGGUCAAUCAGUUAGAAACACAGAGGAAAACAUCACCAGUAGAUUUAGGCAAGUACAAGAAAGAAGAGCAGAGGUUGAGGCAAAGGCUGAGAAAACACUACAUUCAAACAUCAACACUUUAAUCCAAAAAUAGUUAACUAUGAAACAGCAACCCCACCCACCUGAAAGUUAUAAACAGAAUGUUUAGAAUAGUAAACACCAGAGUGGAGGCUUGAAUGGCUUCCAUAAGGCUCAUAUAUUUGAGUGUCGGUCUUUGCAGCUGUAAUACCACCUUUGAUAUUACUACCAAGGUGGGUCACUGUGAUGGUUUGAAUAUUCUUGGCCAGGAAGUGGCAGUAUUAGGAGGUUUUGUUGGUAUAGUUGUGGCCUUGUUGGAGGAAGUGUGUCACUGUGGGAGUGGGCAAUGAGGCCCUGCUCCGAGCUGCCUGGACACAGUCUGCUCCUGGCUUCCUUUGGAUGAAGAUGCGGAACUUCUCCAGCACCAUGCCAGCCUGGACACCUCCAUGCUGCCCACCAUGAUGAUAAUAGACUGAACCUAAGAACCCAUAAGCCAGCCCCAACUAAAUGUUGUGUUUUGUAAGAGUUGCCUUGGUUAUGGUGUCUCUUCACAGCAAUGGAAACCCUAACUAAGACACUGUACUACUGGAUGUGACAAGCAAGGCUUGUAAAGUGCAAGAGUGAGCGGCACCCUGAGGGUUUGCAACAAGGAUCCAGAGAACUGCUGCCAUCAAGUCAAGUGUGGAAGGGUCUGAUUCUUUAAAAACAAGUCUUCACAUCCCUUUUACCCAGGAUCUACUUUCCAUCCCUGCAAAACAGUGCCUAGAGAUGUAGCCCAGCUGGUGGAGUGCUUGUCUCUUGUGUUCGAAUCCCUGUGUUUGAUAGCCAGCACUACAUAAACUGGGUGUGGUGGUGUACACCAAUAAUCCCAGCACCUAGGAGGUAGAGGCAAGAGGAUCAGAAUGUCAAGAUCAAGACAUAGAGCACACUAAAUCAGUGGAUCAACCAAAAACCAAUUGUAACAGGGGCCCAGACCUUAGUGCAACUGACUCCAUGAUGCAAACGCCAUACUGUGAAACUCAGCUUCUCCAGUUUAUUGUCCUAGCCAACUCUUCCUUUCAUUUUGUCUGCCCUAUGUCUGUAUUUUCCCAUACUGGACAGGAUGAGAAGUUGACUUUCGAGCCUGGACUCCCACUUCUCCACUCACUGCCCAGUGAACAGAUUUGUGCUAUUAGUGCUCAGCCUCAGUUUCCCCUUUCAUUUUACAACACCAAGUAUGUCUCUUGGGAGGGCCUUCUCUCUGGGACCAACAGAUGGCAGAUAAAACCUCUCACCCCUUGCUCUAUGCAUCUUGUUUACCUGACUGCCCCUG